GACGAACGCUGGCGGCGUGCUUAACACAUGCCUGUCGAGCGGAAAGGCCCUUCGGGGUACUCGAGCGGCGAACGGGUGAGUAACACGUGAGUAACCUGCCCCAGACUUUGGGAUAACCCUCGGAAACGGGGGCUAAUACCGGAUACGACACAUCUUCGCAUGGGGUCUGUGUGGAAAGUUUUUCGGUUUGGGAUGGGCUCGCGGCCUAUCAGCUUGUUGGUGGGGUGCUGGCCUACGAAGGCGUCGACGGGUAGCCGGCCUGAGAGGGCGACCGGCCACACUGGGAAUGAGACACGGCCCAGAAUCAUACGGGAGGCAGGAGUGGGGAAUAUUGCACAAUGGGCGAAAGCCUGAUGCAGCGACGACGGGUGAGGGAUGACGGACUUCGGGUUGUAAACCUCUUUCAGCAGGGACGAAGCGUAAGUGACGGUACCUGCAGAAGAAGCGCCGGCCAACUACGUG
rnacentral:rRNA from 1 species